rnacentral:rRNA from 1 species
UACAGAGGGUGCAAGCGUUAAUCGGAAUUACUGGGCGUAAAGCGUGCGUAGACGGUUAUGUAAGUCGGGUGUGAAAGCCCCGGGCUCAACCUGGGAAUGCCAUUCGAGACUGCAUAGCUAGGGUGCGGAAGAGGGAAGCGGAAUUUCCGGUGUAGCGGUGAAAUGCGUAGAUAUCGGAAGGAACACCAGUGGCGAAAGCACUCUGCUGGGCCGACACUGACACUGAGAGACGAAAGCUAGGGGAGCGAAUGGG